AUAUUGGACAAUGGGGGCAACCCUGAUCCAGCCAUGCCGCGUGAGUGAUGACGGCCUUAGGGUUGUAAAGCUCUUUUCUCUGGGACGAUAAUGACGGUACCGGAGGAAUAAGCCCCGGCUAACUUCGUGCCAGCAGCCGCGGUAAUACGAAGGGGGCUAGCGUUGCUCGGAAUCACUGGGCGUAAAGGGCGCGUAGGCGGCUGAUUUAGUCGAGGGUGAAAGCCCGUGGCUCAACCACGGAAUGGCCUUCGAUACUGAUUAGCUUGAGACCGGAAGAGGACAGCGGAACUGCGAGUGUAGAGGUGAAAUUUGUGGAUAUUCGCAAGAACACCAGUGGCGAAGGCGGCUGUCUGGUCCGGUUCUGACGCUGAGGCGCGAAAGCGUGGGGAGCAAACAG
rnacentral:rRNA from 1 species